CUCAUUUGUUCCAACGACACCCAGUCAGUCUCCAUCACCUGAGCUGGAAGAUAUUGAAGAUCUUUGCCUCAGUCCUAUGACUAGAAAAAUUGCAGGUCGAUCGAGGACAAAACACCAAGUCUACGAGCUUCAGGAUACACAUCCUCUUGUUCAACAGUUAGACAAAAGAGACCAGAAUGAUAAAAACCCUUACUUAUUUGUUGUAUGGCCACCAGGUG